rnacentral:rRNA from 1 species
UACAGAGGGGGCAAGCGUUGUUCGGAAUUACUGGGCGUAAAGGGCGCGUAGGCGGCCUGUUAAGUCGAACGUGAAAUCCCCGGGCUCAACCCGGGAACUGCGUCCGAUACUGGCAGGCUUGAAUCCGGGAGAGGGAUGCGGAAUUCCAGGUGUAGCGGUGAAAUGCGUAGAUAUCUGGAGGAACACCGGUGGCGGAAGGCGGCAUCCUGGACCGGCAUUGA